GAUGAACGCUGGCGGCGUGCCUAAUACAUGCAAGUCGAGCGAACAGACGAGGAGCUUGCUCCUCUGACGUUAGCGGCGGACGGGUGAGUAACACGUGGAUAACCUACCUAUAAGACUGGGAUAACUUCGGGAAACCGGAGCUAAUACCGGAUAAUAUAUUGAACCGCAUGGUUCAAUAGUGAAAGACGGUUUUGCUGUCACUUAUAGAUGGAUCCGCGCCGCAUUAGCUAGUUGGUAAGGUAACGGCUUACCAAGGCAACGAUGCGUAGCCGACCUGAGAGGGUGAUCGGCCACACUGGAACUGAGACACGGUCCAGACUCUUACGGGAGGCAGCAGUAGGGAAUCUUCCGCAAUGGGCGAAAGCCUGACGGAGCAACGCCGCGUGAGUGAUGAAGGUCUUCGGAUCGUAAAACUCUGUUAUUAGGGAAGAACAAAUGUGUAAGUAACUAUGCACGUCUUGACGGUACCUAAUCAGAAAGCCAUGGCUAACUACGUG
rnacentral:rRNA from 1 species